rnacentral:Y_RNA from 1 species
GGCUGGUCUGAGUGCAGUGGUGUUUACAACUAAUUGAUCACAAUCAGUUACAGGUCUUUCUGUUCCUUCACUCCCACUACUUCACUUGACUAGUCUAAA